UACGUAGGGGGCUAGCGUUGCUCGGAAUCACUGGGCGUAAAGCGCACGUAGGCGGCUCGUUAAGUCAGGGGUGAAAUCCUGGAGCUCAACUCCAGAACUGCCUUUGAUACUGGCGAGCUUGAGUUCGGGAGAGGUGAGUGGAACUGCGAGUGUAGAGGUGAAAUUCGUAGAUAUUCGCAAGAACACCAGUGGCGAAGGCGGCUCACUGGCCCGGUACUGACGCUGAGGUGCGAAAGCGUGGGGAGCAAACAGG
rnacentral:rRNA from 1 species